AGAGUUUGAUCCUGGCUCAGAAUGAACGCUGGCGGCGUGGUUUAGGCAUGCAAGUCGAGCGAGAAAGUCACCUUCGGGAGGCGAGUACAGCGGCGCAAGGGUGAGUAAUAUAUAGGUAACCUACCUCUAAGAUCGGGAUAAUUCCUGGAAACGGGAAACGGGUUGUAAUACUGGAUGGUCUUUUCUGGUCGCAUGACCGGGUUAGUAAAUGGUAGCUAUGCUUCUGCUUAGAGAGGGGCCUAUAUCCUAUUAGCUUGUUGGUGCGGUAAUGGCGCACCAAGGCUUUGAUGGGUAGCCGGACUGAGAGGUUGGCCGGUCACACUGGGACUGAGACACUGCCCAGACUCCUACGGGAGGCUGCAGUCGAGAAUCUUCCGCAAUGGGCGAAAGCCUGACGGGGCGACGCCGCGUGAACGAAGAAGGCCUUCGGGUUGUAAAGUUCUGUCAGUAGAGAAGAACGCGGAUGCGGUUAACACCCGUGUUCGUUGACAAAGGACUCAAAGGAAGCCACAGCUAACUUCGUGCCAGCAGCUGCGGUAAUACGAAGGUGGCAAGCGUUGUUCGGAUUCACUGGGCAUAAAGGGCGUGUAGGCGGGCUGGCAAGCGGUAUGUGAAAUCCCGGAGCUCAACUCCGGAACUGCGUACCGAACUGCCGGUCUAGAGGACGAGAGGGGACUAUGGAACUCUAGGUGGAGCGGUGAAAUGCGUAGAUAUCUAGAGGAACGCCGGUGGCGAAAGCGAUAGUCUGGCUCGUAUCUGACGCUGAGGCGCGAAAGCGUGGGUAGCAAACAGGAUUAGAUACCCUGGUAGUCCACGCCGUAAACGAUGAGCACUAGGUAGCCGCAGGAUCCGACCUGUGGCUGCUGAAGGUAAUCCAUUAAGUGCUCCGCCUGGGGAGUACGGUCGCAAGGCUGAAACUCAAAGGAAUUGACGGGGGCUCACACAAGCGGUGGAGGAUGUUGCUUAAUUCGAAGCAACGCGAAGAACCUUACCAGGGUUUGACAUGCAGGGAAGAGAAUUUGCUAGAGAUAGCUUAGUGCCUUCGGGAACUCUGAGACAGGUGCUGCAUGGCUGUCGUCAGCUCGUGUUGUGAAAUGUUGGGUUAAGUCCCGUAACGAGCGCAACCCUUGUCCUUAUUUGCCAGCACGUAAUGGUGGGAACUCUAAGGAGACUGCCGGUGACAAACCGGAGGAAGGUGGGGACGACGUCAAGUCAUCAUGGCCCUUACGAGCGGGGCUACACACGUGCUACAAUGGCCAGGACAAACGGCUGCAACCCCGCGAGGGUGAGCUAAUCCGAGAAACCUGGUCGUAGUCCGGAUCGCAGUCUGCAACUCGACUGCGUGAAGUCGGAAUCGCUAGUAAUCGUGAAUCAGAAUGUCACGGUGAAUACGUUCCCGGGCCUUGUACACACCGCCCGUCACACCAUGGGAGUGGAUUGCACCAGAAGUAGCUAGCUUAACCUUCGGGAGGGCGGUUACCACGGUGUGGUUCAUGACUGGGGUGAAGUCGUAACAAGGUAACC
rnacentral:rRNA from 1 species